UGCCAAUUAGGUUUAAGGACACAGAGUUGACAGUUUAUGAUGGACAUGAGAGUCUCUCUCCAGAGUACCGGCCUUUGCCCUGCCCAUUGAGCCAAUACUAAACCCAUGGGGGAAUACUAAGAGUGCACACUGACAUGGGGGCAGUAGGGACACAGGGCUUGCUGGCUCAGAGGGGCAGUAGGGGCACAAUACACAGGGAUACAGGGCUUGCUGGCUCAGAGGGGCACAAUACGCACAGGGAUACAGUGUUUGCUGGCUCAGAGGGGCAGUAGGGGCA